rnacentral:ncRNA from 1 species
GAUUUAUAAAGAAGCGUGGAGAGACGGGCUCUGUGAAGCGCUAGCAACCUGAAAGCAAUGUUUAAGGUGCUAAUUCCUGUUUCUGGCGGUUGCCGGAAUAAAUAUGAAUU